UGGGUUUUGGGGGGUUUUGGGGCGGGAGGAGCACAAUUGGGUGGUUUUGGGCUGGAAAGGAGUGAAUUUGGGUGGUUUUGGGUAGAAAUGAGAACAUUUUGGGUUGGUUUUGGGUAAGAUAACUGCCGUUGGGUCAUUUUUGGGGUGGAGAAGAGCACAUUUGGGUUGGUUUUGGGAUGCAAAUGAUCACAUUUGGGUUGGUUUUGGGUAGAGAUGAGCACAUUUGGGUUGGUUUUGGGUCGAGAACAGCACGUUUUGGUUGGUUUUGGGUAGAGAAGAGCACAUUUGGGUUGU
rnacentral:lncRNA from 1 species